GCACCUAUAGCUCAAUUGGAUAGAGUAUCUGGCUUCGAACCAGACGGUUUAGGGUUCGAGUCCCUAUGGGUGCGCCA
rnacentral:tRNA from 1 species